AGAGAUGCUGACAGUCCAUCUUCCACAUCUCUAACCGUCACUCGAGCCCCAGAAACUAAAGCAACAGAGCAAAGGCAGCGAGUGGUGGCAAAUGACAACAGGAUGGCUGUAAUACUAUGAGCCUAAAAGGAAGACAAAAAUGGCAUUGAUGUCAUUCGAACAACGAUCCUGGCAUGUCUAUUAACAUUCUGAAAGGAAGAGUCAGCAGAUGCUUUCAAGACACACAAGGAGCCUGACCAGGUGCAGAAGGCAGCAUCAUUGAGGGAACCCACUGGAUGUUUUGAUUGUCUGUGAGGAUGAGGUGGUGAAGUCAUCCAACCAGUGCACUUCUACUGUGUUUUUUUUUUUUUUUACUUUAGAGUACACUAUAACUACUCAAAGCUCAUACAGAAG